rnacentral:lncRNA from 1 species
AGUCCGCCAUUGCAAACACGAAGCUCUUCCAGAAACGCCCUCACAGACACCCCGGAAGUCACGUACCCACUCUGUAGGUGCCCCGGGGCACAGGCAAGCGGACGAGCCAGUUAUCCCUCAGAGCUCCUGCUGCCUCGCCCGCUUUCUCUCGGAAACGUGAAGUGUGGCCUCAGCUGAAAGUGAGGUGGGCCUCAUUCAAUCAGUUGAAUUCUUCAAGAGAGAAAAACUGAAGUCCCUUAGAAGGAAAGAGUUCUGCCUUCAGACUGUCUUUGAACUUAAGACUGUAGCGUCGACUCCUGCCGGAAUUUCCAGCCUGCUGGCCAGCUCUGCAGAUUCACACUUGCCAGCCUCCACAAUCGCAGCUGAGGCGGAGGAACCCUAAGGGCUCAUUGAGAUCAUGGAUUUGCCCUUCUAUGCAUUGAUGGAGCACCUGCUGCCCACAGCGUCUGUAUUUGGUGCUGGGAUGCUGAGGACACUGAGAUCUUCAAACAGAGGCUGCCACUCUAAGCAAACAGAUCCCGAGCCCUGGACUCUGAAGCUUGGGCCCAGUUCUCCUUUUCUCCGGGUUUCAGAUCCCACUGUGAAGUGAGGGGGCCCUUCUGAUUCAGGACCCGGGGAAGCCAGGGGCAUGAGCAUCGGUGCCUCUUCUCUAUUUCAAGGACCCUUCUGGGUGUAAAGUUCUCUGAGAUGCCUUACAUGGAUUCCCACCACUGCAAGAUAACCAUCGUAUGUAAAGUGUUAUGACCAGCAGAGCGUAAUUGAAGUGCAUUCCAGAGGGAAAGACAGCGGCUCAGAUGAGGCUUCAGGCUUGACCAAAUCUGACUGGCUGGCUGCCGGAGACACUGCUACCCAUCGGCCCUUAAUAAAUGGCCUCAUUUGAUCAUCAUGUGAUCUUCAGAAGCUGGGCUUGAUUAUCCUUGCCAAACAAAAUGCUGAAACCAAAAAUCUGAAAGUAAAUCAAAGGUUUCGCCAUCAUGUAAACCCUUGGGCGACAGAGUCUACCUGUCUCCCCCUGAUAUUGUUCUAUGAGAUUUCGAUGCUAUCUUCAUUGCCAGCAGCCCUGACAAAGAUGCACUGCAGACGGAUAGCCUCUCAGGAACCUGCUUACCUCAGAGCCUGCUGCGGACUGAGUUGUCUUCUCCAAAAUCCAUUUGUGGAGGCCCUCAUCCCCAGUGGGAGAGUAUUUGGAGAUGAAGCAUUUGGAGGUGAUUAAGCUUAGAUGAGCUCAGAGUGGAGCCUCAGGAUGGCAUCGAUGCCCUGGUAAAGAGGGACACUGAGACCUGGCCCUCCCUUGCUCUCCACCGUGUGAGGACACAAUGAGAUGGUGGCCACCUACAAGCCAGGAACUGAACCCUACGGGGCCUUGACACUGGCCGUUCCAGCCUCCAGAAUGGCUAGGAAUAAAUGUCUGCUCUUUAAGUCACUGGGCGGUGGAGCUUUGUUAUGGCAGCACCAGGGGCUGGUUGAGAGCCUUUGCAUGGCUCUUGUUCCACCUGGAAUGAGAUUUCUAACUCUUGGCUACCUCACCCCCUUACCUCAUUGUUUCAUGUUGCAACCACCCACCCACUCCCCAUGUCUCUGGCAUUCUCAUUUAUUUUUUCUUUGAUUUCAUAGAACACAUCACAAAGCCAUUUGCUCAUGCAUGAUGUUUAUUGUCUAUUUUCUAUCUCCCUGCUAGAGGGUAAGAUGCUCAAGAACACUGCUCUGUCUGCCUCCCUGGACCCAGAAAAUGCUUGGCGUGUGGUAGAACUUAGAUAUAUUUGUGUUGAAUAAAUUAAUUGAAGGG